AUGCCGCGUGUGUGAAGAAGGUCUUCGGGAUUGUAAAGCAUCUUUUGGUCUGGGAGAGAAGGGGUGUAGGUUAAUACCCUGCGAUAUUGACGGUACCUGCAGAAUAAGCACCGGCUAACUCUGUGCCAGCAGCCGCGGUAAUACAUAGGGUGCAAGCGUUAAUCGGAAUUACUGGGCGUAAAGCGCGCGCAGGUCGGUUUGGUAAGUUGGAUGUGAAAUCCCCGGGCUCAACCUGGGAACUGCAUUCAGAACUGACAAGCUAGAGUAUGGUCAGAGGGUGGUGGAAUUUCCUCGUGUAGCGGUGAAAUGCGUAGAUAUGUGAAGGAACACCAGAUGGCGAAGGCGACCACCUGGACUGAUACUGACACUGCAUGCGCGAAAGCGUGGGGAGCAAACAGGAUUAAUACCCUGGUAGUCCACGCCCUGCACAAGCGGUGGAGCAUGUGGUAUAAAUUGAAGCAACGCGAAGAACCUUACCAGGCCUUGACAUCCAAUGAACUUUCCAGAGAUGGAUUGAGUGCCUUGGGAAACAUCGAGACAGCUGCUGCAUGAUGGUUGUCAGCUGGUGUCGUGAGAUGAUGGGUUAAGUACUGUAACGAGCACAGCCCUCGUCCUUAGUAGUCAGUCACGUUAAGGUGGGCACUCUAAGGAGACUGCCGGUGACAAACCGGAGGAAGGUGGGGAUGACGUCAAGUCAUCAUGGCCCUUACGGCUAGGGCUUCACACGUCAUACAAUGGUCCGAGUACAGAGGGUUGCCAACCCGCGAGGUGGGAGCUAAUCCCAUGAAAGCCGAUCGUAGUCCGGAUCGCAGUCUGCAACUCGACUGCGUGAAGUCGGAAUCGCUAGUAAUCGCGAAUCAGCAUGUCGCGGUGAAUACGUUCCCGGGUCCUUGUACACACCGCCCGUCACACCAUGGGAGUGGGUUGCACCAGAAGUAGGUAGUCUAACC
rnacentral:rRNA from 1 species